UAUAACCUUAUAUUUUAUUAAUUAACGUAUAUUUAAAUUGUACCCAUUCCCAAUUAUAAUAAUUUUAAUCCUUUUAUAUAACUUAUUUAUAUAAUAACUAACAAUUGUUUAUGCAAAUUAUUAAUAUGUUGGAAUAAAGAGGAUUAACUUCAACUUAUUAAUUUAAUUAAUAAUUUACCUGCGGUGCCUUACAGGACCCGCAUGUAAUUUAUCCAAUCCUCGACCACGGAUAUAAAAAGGAAAAAACAAUCCAAAGUUCGAACAGAAAUAAAAUAGUCGUAAAAUAAAAGAAUAUUACAUUUUAACCAAUGAUAAAAUUUUCUUAAUGGAUCAAUUUACGAAAAACCUAUUAAUAUUAAUUAAUAUUGAUUAAAAAAUAUAAAAAGGCAAAAUAAAAAAAUAAAACGUUAAUAUUAUUUUUUUACAAAUAUUUAAAACUAACAAAAUAUUUUGCGGAUAAUAUUAAGAAAACCGUUAAUAUACGUUAGAGUUUUUAUAUUAAACGUAUAACAUUUAUCCAAAUAUUACGAAAAAAUAUAAAAAUAAUAUCCGUCCUAACCAAUAAAAUGUUUUGGAUUUUACCAUUUAGAUUAAUUAUUUUAUAAUUAAUAACCAAUUUAAAUAAAGGAAUAAUAUUUGGUAAAAAAACAGAAUAUAAUACGAUAAACGCAAAAUGGGGUUUCCAACACAACAACGAACGUUAAAAUAUAAAAGAAGUUUAUUUAAAUAAAAUUAUAUCGACGUUAAAAUUACCAACGUUUUAAAAAAAAUAUUAAAACAAUUUUUUUUAAAAAUAAAUUUUACGGAUUUUUUAAAAAUCUGGAAAAAAUAAUAAUAAUUCGAAAGAAAUAUAAAUAUUAGAAAUUAUUAACCGAUAUAACAAAAAGGGGAUAAUUUGUUUUAACAAAUAUUAAAAUUUUUCGUUGGUAGAAUUUAAAAUUAUUUUAGAUUAUAUAAUAUAUUAAUCCAAAGAAUAUUAGACAUUUAUUAAGAAACGAAAAAUAUUUCAUUUUUAAAAAUACAAACGAGAAACGAAAUAAAUAAUUUGCAAAAAUAUUGGAAAUAAAAUACGAAGAUUUAUUUGUAUCCGAAAAAACGUCCAACGUGGUUUUGAAGUUAAACGAUUAAAAUAACAAAAGACCAAUUUGAAAAAUAAUAAUAUAAUUAACAAACGAUAUUUCGAAAAUCGGAUAAUAUAAUAAACCAAACCAAAAUACGAAAAUGGAAACGAUCGAAAUUAAUUUUUUACAAGUUAAAAGUUUAGGGGUUUUUCGAUAUUAAUAUUAAAACGAAGUUCUGACGAAAAUAGAAGUUUUACAAUCCCGAAAAUAAAUAUACGGGAAUUUAUAAUAAAUCCAGAUAAUAUAGAAAAUAAAUUAAAAUAAAACCACGUGCAAAACAUUUAUAAUUAUUUACCUCCAUUAUUAAUUCCGAACAAAAGAAAUGGAAUCGUAUAUAAUGAUUUUUUUUUCAAACGGUUGGAAUAAAUUCAAUAAUUAUUUAGAAAAUUAUAUAAUAUAUUCGAUAAUAAUAUUAGGAUAUUUAUAAUUAUUUGCGAAAUAUUACAAAUACAAUUAUCUGCAAUGUAUAUAAUACUUCCACAAAUUUUAAUAUAAAGCGCCAAAACGUUUUUUAUAAUAAAUAUAAAAGUUUAUUUGAGGUUUAAAAAAAUUUAUAUAAUGUUUAAAAAGCGAUUUAAAAUAUAUACAUA
rnacentral:sRNA from 1 species